AGGUUCUUGAGUUCAUGUAAGAGGACAGUCUUAAAACGGAAGAAGAAAAAGAAGCAGUUCAGUCUUUGGGAGAGCUGCCUCCUUGUUGAGUGCUGCAAAGGCCUGGAAUUCAUUUAUGACAGAAUAGAUCUAGAAAAGUCCAAGCAUGUUUUCUAGAGGGGUGUAGCCCUGUGCUGCCUCCAGUGAAGAGUCUCUUGGUGUUGGCUUCGUGCUUCCGGAGGGACCAUGGCAACCUCCAGAGGGGCCUCCCGGUGUCCUCGGGAUAUCGCCAAUGUGAUGCAGAGGCUGCAAGGGUGAAGAGGAAAGAAAGUUAAUUACCUAGAAGACUUCAAAAUGUGCCUGCCUUUCCUUCUCCCUUCUAAUGUUCACCAGAACUGCAAAGCGAGGAAGCCUGGACAUGUGAGUUUCAAAAGAGCUCCUCUGGCAAGUCUGACAUCCCACACAUCCC
rnacentral:lncRNA from 1 species